AGUGAACGCUGGCGGUAGGCCUAACACAUGCAAGUCGAACGGCAGCACAGUAAGAGCUUGCUCUUACGGGUGGCGAGUGGCGGACGGGUGAGGAAUACAUCGGAAUCUACUUUUUCGUGGGGGAUAACGUAGGGAAACUUACGCUAAUACCGCAUACGACCUACGGGUGAAAGCAGGGGAUCUUCGGACCUUUCGCGAUUGAAUGAGCCGAUGUCGGAUUAGCUAGUUGGCGGGGUAAAGGCCCACCAAGGCGACGAUCCGUAGCUGGUCUGAGAGGAUGAUCAGCCACACUGGAACUGAGACACGGUCCAGACUCCUACGGGAGGCAGCAGUGGGGAAUAUUGGACGAUGGGCGCAAGCCUGAUCCAGCCAUACCGCGUGGGUGAAGAAGGCCUUCGGGUUGUAAAGCCCUUUUGUUGGGAAAGAAAAGCAGCAGGUUAAUACCCCGCUGUUCUGACGGUACCCAAAGAAUAAGCACCGGCUAACUUCGUG
rnacentral:rRNA from 1 species